CCUACGGGAGGCUGCAGUGAGGAAUAUUGGUCAAUGGCCGAAAGGCUGAACCAGCCAAGUCGCGUGAAGGACGAAGGCGCUAAGGAUUGUAAACUUCUUUUGUCAAGGGACAAAAUCAGGCUCAAGAGCCUGACCGAGGGUACUUGAAGAAAAAGCAUCGGCUAACUCCGUGCCAGCAGCCGCGGUAAUACGGAGGAGGCGAGCGUUAUCCGGAUUUAUUGGGUUUAAAGGGUGCGUAGGCGGAGGGUUAAGUCAGCGGUAAAAGCGCGGGGCUCAACCCCGUCGAGCCGUUGAAACUGGAUGCCUUGAGAUGUCGAGAGGUAUGCGGAAUGCGUGGUGUAGCGGUGAAAUGCUUAGAUAUUACGCAGAACUCCGAUUGCGAAGGCAGCAUACCGGCGGCGAACUGACGCUGAGGCACGAAAGCGUGGGUAUCGAACAGGAUUAGAUACCCUAGUAGUC
rnacentral:rRNA from 1 species